rnacentral:misc_RNA from 2 species
AACGCACAUUGCGCCCUGUGGUAUUCCGCAGGGCAUGCCUGUUCGAGCGUCAUUACAACCCUCAAGCUCAGCUUGGUAUUGGGGUGUGCCGGCAACGGCAGCCCCUAAAAUCAGUGGCGGUGCUGUCAGGCCCUAAGCGUAGUAAACUUUCUCGCUACAGGGUCCUGGGAGCAGUAGCCAACAACCCCCACUUUCUAUGGUUGACCUCGGAUCAGGUAGGGAUACCCGCUGAACUUAA